UGGGGAAUUUUGGACAAUGGGCGAAAGCCUGAUCCAGCAAUGCCGCGUGUGUGAAGAAGGCCUUCGGGUUGUAAAGCACUUUUGUCCGGAAAGAAAUGGCUCUGGUUAAUACCUGGGGUCGAUGACGGUACCGGAAGAAUAAGGACCGGCUAACUACGUGCCAGCAGCCGCGGUAAUACGUAGGGUCCAAGCGUUAAUCGGAAUUACUGGGCGUAAAGCGUGCGCAGGCGGUUGUGCAAGACCGAUGUGAAAUCCCCGAGCUUAACUUGGGAAUUGCAUUGGUGACUGCAGGGCUAGAGUGUGUCAGAGGGGGGUAGAAUUCCACGUGUAGCAGUGAAAUGCGUAGAGAUGUGGAGGAAUACCGAUGGCGAAGGCAGCCCCCUGGGAUAACACUGACGCUCAUGCACGAAAGCGUGGGGAGCAAACAGG
rnacentral:rRNA from 1 species